GCUCAUCUGUUUGCUCUGGAGUUUAGAGGGGUUGAGGCAUCGGGGUGAAUGGGAAGGGAGAAGGUGGUCUCUGGAAGAGCUGAAAUAACCUUCUCAGAAAGCCAACCUCGAAAUGAUGAGGCACAACCAUAAAGUACCAGUACCCAAGCCACGUUUUCAAUUACAGGACAACAUCUGCUGAGGAAAAAGGACAUGGCUCAAAAAAAAAAAAA
rnacentral:lncRNA from 1 species